AAUUCGAUUAGAGUUUGAUCCUGGCUCAGAUUGAACGCUGGCGGCAUGCCUUACACAUGCAAGUCGAACGGUAACAGGUCUUCGGAUGCUGACGAGUGGCGAACGGGUGAGUAAUACAUCGGAACGUGCCCGAUCGUGGGGGAUAACGAAGCGAAAGCUUUGCUAAUACCGCAUAAGAUCUACGGAUGAAAGCAGGGGACCGCAAGGCCUUGCGCGAACGGAGCGGCCGAUGGCAGAUUAGGUAGUUGGUGGGAUAAAAGCUUACCAAGCCGACGAUCUGUAGCUGGUCUGAGAGGACGACCAGCCACACUGGGACUGAGACACGGCCCAGACUCCUACGGGAGGCAGCAGUGGGGAAUUUUGGACAAUGGGCGAAAGCCUGAUCCAGCCAUGCCGCGUGCAGGAUGAAGGCCUUCGGGUUGUAAACUGCUUUUGUACGGAACGAAAAGACUCUGGUUAAUACCUGGGGUCCAUGACGGUACCGUAAGAAUAAGCACCGGCUAACUACGUGCCAGCAGCCGCGGUAAUACGUAGGGUGCAAGCGUUAAUCGGAAUUACUGGGCGUAAAGCGUGCGCAGGCGGUUAUAUAAGACAGAUGUGAAAUCCCUGGGCUCAACCUGGGAACUGCAUUUGUGACUGUAUAGCUAGAGUACGGCAGAGGGGGAUGGAAUUCCGCGUGUAGCAGUGAAAUGCGUAGAUAUGCGGAGGAACACCGAUGGCGAAGGCAAUCCCCUG
rnacentral:rRNA from 1 species